UGGGGGAUAUUGCACAAUGGGGGAAACCCUGAUGCAGCGACGCCGCGUGAGCGAUGAAGUAUUUCGGUAUGUAAAGCUCUAUCAGCAGGGAAGAAAGUGACGGUACCUGACUAAGAAGCCCCGGCUAACUACGUGCCAGCAGCCGCGGUAAUACGUAGGGGGCAAGCGUUAUCCGGAUUUACUGGGUGUAAAGGGAGCGUAGACGGGAGAGCAAGUCUGAAGUGAAAGCCCAGGGCUCAACCCUGGGACUGCUUUGGAAACUGUUGACCUAGAGUGCUGGAGAGGUAAGUGGAAUUCCUAGUGUAGCGGUGAAAUGCGUAGAUAUUAGGAGGAACACCAGUGGCGAAGGCGGCUUACUGGACAGUGACUGACGUUGAGGCUCGAAAGCGUGGGGAGCAAACA
rnacentral:rRNA from 1 species